CAGUAAGAGCUUCGAACGAUCUAGCUUGACGCAUUCCGCAAGGUGACGAUCUACAGGAAAAGGGAAAAUAAAAGGGGUAAGCAUAUACGAUACUUAGUAAAUUCAUAGGUAUUAAACAACAACUUACCUUAACUUUCAAUUAAACAUAAUAAGCUGCUAAGCUUGACAUUAUUUGGCUAGACAUGACAAUUCAUGACAUCAACAAGGUGAGUUUAAAAAUAUAAUCAAACCAUGUAAUAUCACAAGUAUUUAAAAUGUCAUUUCGUGUCAUAACAAGUAACAAACUCAAAUCUCAUUCAAUCCAAAAGUAGUGUAAUCGUACACACACAUAUAUAUAUCAAGGAUUUGUACUCAAAUCGUUCAAUAAUCUUUCAUUUGAAUAUCAGGCUUAAUUCAUCUCAUCUCAUUUCAAUUUCUUGUUUCAUUUAGCACGUUUCGUCCAAUGAACCCUAGUAAACGGACUCGGAUACACAAGUAUCUUUGAUACACUAGUUGCUCGUUCGAGCUAAGUAUACUUGUGUUAGGUUACCAGUCCAAACUAAAUCUUUAUAACGACUCAUCUGUUUGCUUAUCCAAGCUGAAAUUAUACUUGUCAAUUUACAUGUUCGAGCUAAACCUUUAAAACGAAUCAGGUUACCAAUCUAGGCUAAACCUGUGUCACGUGUAUCUUUGAGUCCGUAACAAAUGAUGGAUCUCAGUAAUCAUCUAAAGUCAGUCCAUACAAGUGUGAACAAUGCCCUAUUGGCAUUCCAAUCAUAUCCUAACAUUUACUAAAUUCACCCGGGCAGCUUUUAAUACAUUUAAACAUUUAUUUACAAUUUAGUCCAACUCUCACCUUUUAUAUCAACUUACCACAAUCAAUUCACAAUCAAGAAUAAAUACACAAAUAAAAUACAUAAUAAUUUAAGCACAAUUAUACCAUAUGAACUUACCUGAAAAAAUAACAAACAAGUCGAAUCUUCAAGGACUAUUUGACAAUUUUUUACUUUCCCCCGAUUAUCCCCGAUUUAAUCCAAUUCUUGAUCUCAACAAUUAUUUUAGACAUUUCGUCAAUACCAAAUAUUUCUAUAUCAUUCCAUGAUAUGCAUGAACCGAUUUAAUUCUAUUUUUUGAAUGUCCCUUAGGUUUUACAUUUUAUUUAAUUUAGUCUCUGAAACCGAAAUAACAAUAUCUUUCAAUUUUGAGCCUCGAUUUUAAAACCGAUCUCAAUUACAUCCUUUAGAGACCCUCUACUAUAUAUUAUUAUUGAAAUUUCAUAUAAAUUUCACAUUUUAUUCACUAUGGUCCUUUUAAACAAAACUAAUUAUUAAAC
rnacentral:lncRNA from 1 species